ACGCGUGGGAACGUACCUUUUGCUACGGAAUAACUCAGGGAACCUUGUGCUAAUACCGUAUGUGCCCUUCGGGGGAAAGAUUUAUCGGCAAAGGAUCGGCCCGCGUUGGAUUAGCUAGUUGGUGAGGUAAAGGCUCACCAAGGCGACGAUCCAUAGCUGGUCUGAGAGGAUGAUCAGCCACACUGGGACUGAGACACGGCCCAGACUCCUACGGGAGGCAGCAGUGGGGAAUAUUGGACAAUGGGCGCAAGCCUGAUCCAGCCAUGCCGCGUGAGUGAUGAAGGCCCUAGGGUUGUAAAGCUCUUUCACCGGUGAAGAUAAUGACGGUAACCGGAGAAGAAGCCCCGGCUAACUUCGUGCCAGCAGCCGCGGUAAUACGAAGGGGGCUAGCGUUGUUCGGAUUUACUGGGCGUAAAGCGCACGUAGGCGGACUUUUAAGUCAGGGGUGAAAUCCCGGGGCUCAACCCCGGAACUGCCUUUGAUACUGGAAGUCUUGAGUAUGGUAGAGGUGAGUGGAAUUCCGAGUGUAGAGGUGAAAUUCGUAGAUAUUCGGAGGAACACCAGUGGCGAAGGCGGCUCACUGGACCAUUACUGACGCUGAGGUGCGAAAGCGUGGGGAGCAACAGGAUUAGAUACCCUGGUAGUCCACGCCGUNAACGAUGAAUGUUAGCCGUUGGGGAG
rnacentral:rRNA from 2 species